CUCACUGUCACUCAAUAGAAAAACCCAUAAUACUCGCAAUCAACCGAAUACACUCAUAUAUACCCACAUGAAAGGGAGAAACCAAACGGAAAAAGAGAGAGAAGUGAGACGGAGAGAGAUUGGAGAUCGGGAGUAACGGAAAUGGCUCGCCGGAAAUCGACUGAGAAUCAUCCUCUGGGUAUUGCUAUCACUGUUACGCUGGAUUUACCAUCGAAAAGACCAUACUGUCGCUAUCCGCUACUGUUUUCGGCGAAAAACAGCGCUGUCAGCGUCGCUCCAACCAUUUUCUUCUCGGUUAUUUCCAUUAUUACCUCACCGGAGCUCGAAUAGUAUGGGUUCCUCAGUUUUUUUGGUAAUUCCCUGAUUUCCGAUCUGUUUUUGCCUAUUUUUCGAAGAUCUCAAACACGGUUUUCUUGGUUUUUGGCGUUGUCAGUCUUCGACUUGAGUGAUAUACUUCGUCUUUCCGGGAUUCAAGUCAGUUCGUGUUAUUAUUUCUCAUUAUUGAGUUGGUGUGGCUCGUUAUUGAGUUUCGAUUCGAGGUUUUCGGUGCCGUUUUUAUCUUCAAUAUAUUGAAAGCUAAAAGUUUAG
rnacentral:lncRNA from 1 species